rnacentral:rRNA from 1 species
AACUUUCAACAAUGGAUCUCUUGGUUCUGGCAUCGAUGAAGAACGCAGCGAAAUGCGACUAGCUAGUGUGAAUUGCAGAAUUCAGUGAAUCAUCGAAUCUUUGAACGCACAUUGCGCCCUUUGGCAUUCCAUAGGGCAUGCCUGUUCGAGCGUUAUUU